rnacentral:rRNA from 1 species
CCGGAUCCCAUCAGAACUCCGCAGUUAAGCGCGCUUGGGCUAGAGUAGUACUGGGAUGGGUGACCUCCCGGGAAGUCCUAGUGUUGCACCCU